UAUUAAAAAUUUUAUCUGUUUUUUAUUAAAAAUUAGCAUGGCUGUUGGAAUAAUCAAUUGGUUACACGUGAUGUAUCAUAUAUAUACUUCAUGUUGACAUAUAGGGAUCAAGUUUUAACAAAAAAAUGAAUGAAAUUUUUAAUG
rnacentral:pre_miRNA from 1 species